UUUGGGCACACAGGCCUGAUACAUACACAUAGGCUUCUGGGCACAUAGGCCUGACACAUAAGCCUUAUACAUAGGCUCUGGGCACACAAGCCCAUCACAUACAUAAGCUUCAAUAAACUGCUCGGCUGUUGGCACAGAUUACCAUAGGUGUUGCAACAUUGGUGAUUACUGUUCACAUUGCCCUGAGUGCAGCUCAUUAGCUACUUUGCCUACACCUGGUUUUAACCCAUAUGGUGUUAGUACUAGGCUGGACUGUGGCAGCAAUCCAGGCAGCAGUAGCUCCCUGCCUACACAUAUCUGUGUACCAAGCCCUAUUAGGAAUGGGAGAAUGCCCUUCCUAAUGAUGAAGGCUUAGGGUUUAGGGGUGCCUCAGGCCCCAUGGCCUUACUUGGCAUUAGGACUACAGGUCCCAAGACUUCCUGUAACUCUACUGCUAAGGGACUUGUAAUCAGUGUACUUUACUGCUGUAAGUAGGCUCCCCACUUUGCUAAAGUGGAUGUCUGUGCUGUCCCAGUCGAUGGGGUCAUUACCCACGAGUGUACCCACCCCACUGUUGGGAAAGUUGUCUGCCUGAUGAUUGUAGCCAUUCCUGCCAUGCUCUUAUGAGCCUGAAGGGCAGUAUAUACAGUUACUAACUGCUUUCCCUGUCCAGGGGGUGGUUAUCCAUGAACACACCCAUCCUAUUAUUACUAACUGCUUCUGUAUCAAGGAAUACUGGAGCUCAGCUCCCUUGCAUAAUUGGGACCAAAAGCCUACUGGCAUACUCAGGCACUCAUGCACUGCCAUAGGCCCUAACUGAAACUAUCUGUGGUCACAUGCACAUCUAGCUUAAAUGGGCACCUCUGGUCAACUACCCAUAGGGCUUGUGCUUGCUGAAUAGCCUACUUGGCUACCAGGAAGGCUGUCUCAGCUGCAUCAUCCCAAUCCCAGGCAAGAAGGGCAUUGCUGCUUCUAAACCUGCAAGAGAAUCAGAAGUGAAUAUAACAUUAUUAACAAGACCAUGACAUAUGGUGGGGCUAUGCAUAUAAGCCCUGAAGCAACACUGUGAAAGUCCGUCGUCACCCUCCCAUGAAGGCAAACUGUUCCUGGCUCUCUGGAGCAAUGUCAAUGGAGAAGAAUGCAUUAGCCAAGUCCCAUCACAAAGUGGUACUGUCCCAGUUCCAUUGUCAAACAGCCAUCAAGUCUAUGAUGGAAGGUCCAGCUGCAUGCAGAGGGGAUGUUGCUUUAUUCAGUUCCUGAUAAUCCACUGUCAUCUGCCAAGUUCCAUCAGGCUUUUUGACUGGUUAUACUAGAGAAUCAUAGGGGUUAUGGGUGCACCUCCUCUAACUUCUUAUUAGUCUCAGUUAUCUCUGUGUGCUCCCCCGCCGCCCCCCAGUAAACGGUAUUGAUGAGUGGAAGUAAGUUGUUGGGGUUGUGGCAGAACUUGGGGCUGGUGAUGUGUAUGGAGUACUGGCUUUACUACACGAACCAGGAUUCCAAAUUCUCUGGCUGUGGUGUGUAAGUCCAGAUCAUGCAAAAUGUCCACCCCCAGAAUAUAUUCAUGUAUAGGAGAAACAUACAGAGUGUACAGGUGGAUAGCAGAGUAGCCAAUGCCAAUAUAGAUUCACCAUCACAGAUUGGCCCCCAUAACUGUCAAUGAAUGCAGCUUUUCCCAGAAACUUAUCCAGGUUCCCAUAAACUAGACUGCAGUCUGCACCAGUGUCUACCAGUGCUAGGGCCCGCUGUACAUUAGUAGGGGACCAGAGGAUUGCCAGCUCCUCAUAUAGCCUCCAGUUGUCCAGUUCCCCUGAGUUGGGCAACUCAGCCAGUUCCCUAAUCAAACAGGAAAGGCCUAAUGUCUUCUCCCAUCUGCAAAUAGUCCUUGAGCUGAAAAGUUUCCAGGUGGGGCUGGGUUGAACAACAUUGUCUUGCCCCUCCUUGGGCAUUCUUCAGAAUUGCAGCUCUGGGGACGAUUGCCUCCACAGAGCCAACAGCAUUCCAUUGGGUUGCCUGUCAAUUUUCUCUCUAGUAACCCCAGCUGCAAGUAAAUCAAUCCACAUCCGCAUGUGGGUCACCCGCCUGGGCCCCUUUUAAUCUCGUGGAUGGUUACUUGUGAAGGGUGCACCUUCCAUUUCUUUACGGCGUGGACUCCCAGGUCCCGCCAAUGGCCUUCUGCCUCCCCAAGGGCUGCCAUAGCAAUAGUCACUUUGUGUAUGCGGUGUCCUACAUACGGGGUGAGAACAGCAGCUAGAGGGCCAAAGCAUCCGGGGGUGCUGAACUCAGCACAAGAUCCCUCAUAGGGGAGGUAAAGCGUUCAUCAUCUGGCCCCAGAUAUUCUGAUCAAACAGCCUGCUGCAUAUUGCAUAUCCGUCUCCCGGAGCACCUGCACCAAAUCAGUAUAUGAUUGCCAUUUACUCACAGUUUCUGGGGUCUCUCUGGCAUCAUUCCAAACAGUCCGUAUGGCUGCCGUCAGCCACUUGAUUUACAUGUAGUCACUUUGCCCUUGUGUUAACCGUUGGCACAGCUGCAGCCGCCGAUGAAGGGAAGGGUGAGUUGUGAUAGAAGCCAGAUUCUCCAUCUCAGAGGCGGAGCAAGAAAUGCUAUCAGCUCCUUCAGACGCUGCCAGACUGUUUACCUACUUCCCUCAAAUCAGUGGGGGUAUAAGCACUAUAAGAGCUUUGGCCAUUGAAAGCUCUUUUUGUUGGCUCCUGUGACCCUUUGACAUAUCCCUAUCAAGUUGCAGAAAUAAACACCCUUGUUCCAAGUCUGUCUGCAUCUGGUUAUUGGACCACGAGAACAAGCAGCUGGACCUCAUUCUGUGCAGGAAAAUGAGCACAUAGCAAGAAGGUGGCUGUCUACAAGCCAGGAAUAGAGCCCUUUCCAGAAUUCGAUCAUGCUGCCACUCUGAUCUUGGACUUCUAGCCUCCAAAACUGUGAAAAAUAAAUUUCUGUUGUUUAAGCUA
rnacentral:lncRNA from 1 species